CCCUGUCUUGGGACUGGUGGGAGUUGGGAAUCCAACCACAGCUUGAGGGAAUGUUUGCUUGUUUGUUUUAAGUAAGUGAAAAAUGAGAUUGUGGAAAAGCUAUUAAGUUCUGCCUCAGAGACAGAAUUUCCACAAUGUACGGUAAUAUCAUAAGAUCUUCGAAUUUCCUCUCUAUAUAGUGUCUAAAUGUUGUAGUAUUCCAAAAUAGCUGGGAUUUAGUUUACAUUUCAGGAAAUACUUGUAGCUACAGAUGAAAAAUUACUAGGAGGAGAUGCGGCAUUUCUUUGCUGGGAUGAACAGUUAACCGGCGAAGUGACUGAGAUGUCAGGCUGCCAGUCUUUAAAAUUAUAUCUCUCUCACACCUAUGAUCAAAAUGGUUCUACUAAGGUCUAAGAAGCUACGAAGUUACCUGGGAUCCCAAUACAAAUAUCAUCUGUACGAUGGAAGACAAUCUUCACUCACCUCAUCCACGAACACUUUCCCCAGUGAAUUUCUGGCAUGUGGUCUGUUCAUCAGAAUUUCUGCAAUACCUGUACUCCAAAAUAAAAUAAAGAACUCUUUUUCACUUAUUGUU